rnacentral:rRNA from 1 species
GAUUUACUUCGGUAAUGACGUUGGGAAAGCGAGCGGCGGAUGGGUGAGUAACACGUGGGGAACCUGCCCCUAAGUCUGGGAUACCAUUUGGAAACAGGUGCUAAUACCGGAUAAUAAAGCAGAUCGCAUGAUCAGCUUUUGAAAGGCGGCGUAAGCUGUCGCUAAGGGAUGGCCCCGCGGUGCAUUAGCUAGUUGGUAAGGUAACGGCUUACCAAGGCGACGAUGCAUAGCCGAGUUGAGAGACUGAUCGGCCACGUUGGGACUGAGACACGGCCCAAACUCCUACGGGAGGCAGCAGUAGGGAAUCUUCCACAAUGGACGCAAGUCUGAUGGAGCAACGCCGCGUGAGUGAAGAAGGUUUUCGGAUCGUAAAGCUCUGUUGUUGGUGAAGAAGGAUAGAGGUAGUAACUGGCCUUUAUUUGACGGUAAUCAACCACAAAGUCACGGCUAACUACGUGCCAGCAGCCGCGGUAAUACGUAAGUGGCAAGCGUUGUCCGGAUUUAUUGGGCGUAAAGCGAGCGCAGGCGGAAAAAUAAGUCUAAUGUGAAAGCCCUCGGCUUAACCGAGGAACUGCAUCGGAAACUGUUUUUCUUGAGUGCAGAAGAGGAGAGUGGAACUCCAUGUGUAGCGGUGGAAUGCGUAGAUAUAUGGAAGAACACCAGUGGCGAAGGCGGCUCUCUGGUCUGCAA